UACAGAGGUCUCAAGCGUUAUCCGGAUUUAUUGGGUUUAAAGGGUGCGUAGGCGGGCUAUUAAGUCAGUGGUGAAAGCCCCAAGCUUAACUUGGGAACUGCCAUUGAUACUGAUGGUCUUGAGUACAUUUGAGGUGGGCGGAAUGUGUCAUGUAGCGGUGAAAUGCUUAGAUAUGACACAGAACACCGAUUGCGAAGGCAGCUCACUAAACUGUAACUGACGCUGAGGCACGAAAGCGUGGGGAGCAAACAGG
rnacentral:rRNA from 1 species